UACGGAGGGUGCAAGCGUUAUCCGGAUUCACUGGGUUUAAAGGGUGCGUAGGUGGGCUAGUAAGUCCGUGGUGAAAUCUCUGAGCUUAACUCGGAAACUGCCGUGGAUACUAUUAGUCUUGAAUCUCGUGGAGGUAAGCGGAAUAUGUCAUGUAGCGGUGAAGUGCUUAGAUAUGACAUAGAACACCGAUAGCGAAGGCAGCUUGCUACACGAGUAUUGACACUGAGGCACGAAAGCGUGGGGAUCAAACAGG
rnacentral:rRNA from 1 species